UACAGAGGUCUCAAGCGUUGUUCGGAUUCAUUGGGCGUAAAGGGCGCGUAGGCUGCGGGGCAAGUCGGGUGUGAAAUCUCGGAGCUUAACUCCGAAACUGCAUUCGAUACUGCCGUGCUUGAGGACUGGAGAGGAGACUGGAAUUUACGGUGUAGCGGUGAAAUGCGUAGAUAUCGUAAGGAAGACCAGUGGCGAAGGCGGGUCUCUGGACAGUUCCUGACGCUGAGGCACGAAGGCCAGGGGAGCAAACGGG
rnacentral:rRNA from 1 species